rnacentral:rRNA from 1 species
UUGCUUUUCUGAUGACGACCGGCGCACGGGUGCGUAACGCGUAUACACCUACCUUUUAGCGGGGAAUAGCCCAGGGAAACUUGGAUUAAUGCCCAUAGUAUAUAGACUUCUCCUGAAGUUUAUAUUUAAACAUUUAUGGCUAUUAGAUGGGUAUGCGUCCUAUUAGUUAGUUGGUAAGGUAACGGCUUACCAAGGCAGCGAUAGGUAGGGGUCCUGAGAGGGAGAUCCCCACACUGGUACUGAGACACGGACCAGACUCCUACGGGAGGCAGCAGUGAGGAAUAUUGGACAAUGGGCGAGAGCCUGAUCCAGCCAUGCCGCGUGCAGGAAGACUGCCCUAUGGGUUGUAAACUGCUUUUACAGAGGAAGAACCACCCCACGUGUGGGGGUUUGACGGUACUCUGCGAAUAAGGAUCGGCUAACUCCGUG